GUGGGGAAUAUUGGACAAUGGGGGGAACCCUGAUCCAGCCAUGCCGCGUGUGUGAAGAAGGCCUUUUGGUUGUAAAGCACUUUAAGCGAGGAGGAGGCUACCGAGAUUAAUACUCUUGGAUAGUGGACGUUACUCGCAGAAUAAGCACCGGCUAACUCUGUGCCAGCAGCCGCGGUAAUACAGAGGGUGCAUGCGUUAAUCGGAUUUACUGGGCGUAAAGCGCGCGUAGGUGGCCAAUUAAGUCAAAUGUGAAAUCCCCGAGCUUAACUUGGUAAUUGCAUUCGAUACUGGUUGGCUAGAGUAUGGGAGAGGAUGGUAGAAUUCCAGGUGUAGCGGUGAAAUGCGUAGAGAUCUGGAGGAAUACCGAUGGCGAAGGCAGCCAUCUGGCCUAAUACUGACACUGAGGUGCGAAAGCAUGGGGAGCAAACAGGAUUAGAAACCCUGGUAGUCC
rnacentral:rRNA from 1 species